UACGUAGGGCGCAAGCGUUAUCCGGAAUUAUUGGGCGUAAAGAGCUCGUAGGCGGGUUGUCGCGUCUGCCGUGAAAGUCCGGGGCUUAACCCCGGAUCUGCGGUGGGUACGGGCAGACUAGAGUGCAGUAGGGGAGACUGGAAUUCCUGGUGUAGCGGUGAAAUGCGCAGAUAUCAGGAGGAACACCGAUGGCGAAGGCAGGUCUCUGGGCUGUAACUGACGCUGAGGAGCGAAAGCAUGGGGAGCGAACAGG
rnacentral:rRNA from 1 species